GCACCCCAUGGCACCCCUGGGGGUGAUUCCUGCACCCCAUGGCACCCCUGGGGGUGAUUCCUGCACCCCAUGGCACCCCUGGGGGUGAUUCCUGCACCCCAUGGCACCCAGGGACCGACACCAGGCCCUGCCCUGCUCCACAGCACAGCCAAAGCCGGGCACAGCCCCACAGCCGGCGCCAGGCUGCGGCCAGCCCUGCAGGUGGGACAGCGUGGAUGGAGCCAGGGGACAACGAAGCGGCUGCUGCAGCACCGGGAGGGCCUCACCGGGAGCACCCAGGAGCUCCACGUGCUCCGCUACCGGGGAGGAAACUCCGGAGGGACCUGAUGCCAACGAGCAGAGCCCCGAGCCCCCCGGGGACCCCGAGCAGGGCCGGGAGCCGCGCCGGGGCAGGAGGAGCACGGCAGGAUCGGGCUGGGCCGGGAGCCGGGAAGGGCGGUGAGCCGCGGGAACGGGCGCGACACCGCGGCACGCGCCGGGCCCACGCGCUGCCCUCGGGCGCCGCGGCCUGCCGGGGCACGGCCCGUGGGAAGGCGCGGGGCAGGGCCGUGCCAAAAUAAAACUCCCUGCGCGAAAAGCGCC